GAACAUUUACUUCCAUAAAAGAGCAGCCAUUAUUUCCCUUAUUUCCAUUUUGUUCACAGUACAUUCACGUUGGUGUGUGUCAUUUGUAGAUCAUUCUCGAGUAUGCCAGCUCACAGAGCAAGAAGAUAUGCUUAGUGACCCUUGGAAAAGCGAUUUCUGGCUGUCACUUAGGCUGAAACUGUUAAGAUGAUAAAUCCAAGAACAGACAUGGGAAAAGUUUUAGGAGGUGCUUUUACUACUCAUCAGAUGGUCUGGAACGCCUUACCUCCUAACUCAGUAAAUGGACAACAGUUUCUAUCAAUUACUUGUGCACUUUUAUCCAUCCAUUAACAAAAUCUGCUCAAUCCAAUCCAGCUCUGGAUUGGGCAUGUAUUUAUAUGACUGGUUUAAAAAUAAAAGUAAGUGUUGGCUUAA